UGUUCUGUCCGUUUUAUAAUUGCCAAUACGGACCUGAAAAACAAAGGAGACCGCUAGCUAGGUGAUAACUUCUCACGGGGACGCACAGUUAGUAACAUUUUUUAAAAGUAAAGCAACCGGAAGGCAGUACGUUCUUUAUUCUGAAAAUCUCUGUAGCUUCUCUCCAUUUCCGCGUCCGAUUUCCUGUCUUUCCUUCCCCAAAAAUGUCGAACUUGACCCGUUUCAGAGGCGUCGCGCGUAGAAAAUAGAUCCGGCGCGUAAAGGCCGCGACAUGCUGCUCCUGAGACGCGGCCGACUCGCGCUGCUGACGGCUGCCGACGGCUCCGGUGGAAAAGGUUCUGUUGACCACAGCGGUUCCUAUCAGCAGCUAUGACGUGCUGCUGCAGUAACGUGCUGCUGACGGCUCCCGUGGAAAGCCGGGGUCAGGGGGUUAUCAACGGAGGAGCUCCUUAAAAAGUUGAUGGAAGAAGGCAUUGAUGUGUCAGACGACGAGGCGCAAAGAUUUAAGAGGUAAGUCGGGUGUGAUUUUGUGUUUUUAUAAAAAUUACAACGUGUAAUUUUACAGUAGUUAGCAAAAGUCCGAAGAGCUACAUUUCACAUGGGUGAAAGCUAGCAGUUAGCUAAAUUUUAAACAAAGAAAGGUACAAAUGUGGACUAUUUAGACUGUUGGUGGAAUGUUCAACGUCUGUCUGCCUGCCGUAUUCGAGUGUUUUAUCAAUAAAUAGUGACUAACCCUGUACAACAAUGUAAAAAAAAAAAAUCAAUAAUUUCUCAAAACAUGCUAGUAUGUAAAUAUAGCUAUUAACAAAAUCGUUUUCUAAGCAAAUUUAUCGCAUCCAACUUGUUUCCCGCUCAAAGGGAUUUUAAACAAUGGAAGGUACACAUUUGUACCAUCCCACCUACUUAGUGAGAUUUUUGAAUAUGAUGAGAGCUGUAAGCUCUGCGCAGGGACACUGUCUGCAAAAACCUGUGAUGCCAGCUAGCUGCUGAUCAGGGAUCGAUUUAUCAUUUCAAAUAAACCAAAAUCAAGGAGGCAAAUUGUGGGCAGCAAAAACAGACAAGAUAGUCUAGGGUUCUAUUCUAUCCACAACUUGGAUUAUUGUUUUGGUUGCAAUGAAUAAUGCCUACAGCCAACAGGCAAUCGGUGCAAGGAUUUCCCCACAAAAGAAAAAAAUGUUGUGUACUACAACAUUUUAUUGAUGAUUUAAAAUUCACUUCAGCAAUGUAUCCGGCUUGCAACGUGAUUAAACAAUGUCACGAUAUUGUUGCAGUCAGGUCAGGUCACAAUGUUACCAGUUAAUUUAUAUUAACAAUUAAUCAAGAUAAUUUAUUGUGACUUCCUUUUGGGGAAUAUAGACAGAUUCACAAUGAUAGCUUAUUGUUGUUGUUGUUGUUGUUAUUAUGAUGUAUUGACCAUAAUGUCACUUUAAAACUAAAUUUGAAAAUUAUUUCAUACUGUACUUUAUAUUUCAGAUAACGAUGUAGAUGGAGAGACGGUAGACUGUGGACUCACUGAGACCAUGGUUGCAUAUCUUUUUGACAAGUCUUUCAAAAAGCAGCUGAAGUUCAGAGACUUCACAAAUCGCUACAAGGAAGUCAUCAUCACUUUACAACCGGUCGACCCAUUUGAAGGUACAGUUGAAGGUCCAGUGUCCCAAGCAAACCAGAGGUAGGUUGUGAUAAAUGUCUAAAUUUGCAUAUGCAUUUAAGUGCUUGUAAAAUGGCUAGUUGAUGCUGUUUUCCUACUGUAUUGCAGUUCUAUACCUUCUUGCCCUAGACUGCCUGCAGUUAUUUCCAUUCCAAAAUUCCCACAAGAUGUCCAGAGUCGCUUGAAUCUCAAAGAACCAGUCCAGAAAGAACAGAAGUACUGAAACAAAAUAAUUGGGACUCUUUAUGAAAUGCUGUCACAGUACACAAUGUACCCAACCCACUCAGACUACAUCCAGGUCAUCAAAGCCCUGAUUGUGAAGUAUCCUUUCUUAAGAGAUGUACACGGAAAUGGUUAUGUGAGUACCUCUCCUUUUUUGCUUCUUUUAUAGAUUAUAUUAAUAUAAGGUAAGCAUAAUUAACAUCUUAUAUACAUUUGAAACAACUAUGACACCUGGCACAGCCAACUCAAGAGAAAGUUCAAAGCAGAACGGGCUCCCCUAAUCAGCAACGAAGAAGUGAACCGGGUUAAAGAAAAGUUUGGACGCACGCAGAAACAUCGGACCACAGAGGAAUCCAGCAGCUCCUGUCUGAAGAGACUGAAGCCCUCUCUCGAUUCGUGCUUUGUGGGGGAAGAUGCAGCCUCCGUUGAUGCUCAUAUCAAGGUACUAAAUGAUCAGCACAAGAAGCUACAUCCUGACACAGCACUGGUGAAAGACCGCAUGACAAAAACCUUUGCAUGGAGACGUCGAGAGGUAGCUGAAGGAAUGUGUACUGUGGACCUAUUAAAGAGAUAUCCAUUCCUGGGGACACCCACAGGGGUAAGGACUGUUAAGAUGAUUGGGGAAUAAGCUAAUGAUUUUUUUUUGUCUCUAAAUCUGAUUAUUAUUUUCUGUACUAACAGAUUAAUCAAUCUGUUUUUUUAUCUUUAGAAUGUUUGUUCAAGGGUUAAAGCACUUUACGUUUAUCUCCAGUCUGUGUCUUUAACCCUCCCACUGUCUUUAUGGGUGACCCCACGAGGAA